AGAAAAAAAAAAAUCACCACCACCCCCGCUUACCUUAUCCACACUCCCGCAUCCCCAUUCUCCCGCGGAUCCUCCCCGCCGCCGACGCACUUCCAUCUCCCCCAGCCGCCGCUGCCGUGGUUCCUCCGCCGCCCCUUCCCUUCACCCACCUUCCCGCAACCUCUCUCAACCCUCCCAACAACCCGCCAGCCAACCUCCGGCUGCCGCCCACCCGCCGGCUUGCCGCCGCCCCAUCUCCUAAGGGCGCGCCGCCGCCCUGCCUCCUCCUAAGGGCGCUUCCUCCUAGCGUGUCGCCGCCCCAACUACUUCCGGUUCGAGGCCACCGCACCACCUUUUCCGGCGCAUGGCACCCGAUCCAGACGCGCUCCACCCGCCCACCCGGUCCCCGCGCUCUUCCCACCGGCUCCCUCCGGUCCAGAGGCGCCUCCCACUGCCGCCCGAGGCCACCGAGCCCCACCCCUUAGCCAUCCUCGACCCCUGUCCCUGCCGCGCCCGUCGGCGAGGUUAACGUAGCUCCGGUGGCUUCUCUUCAGUCCAUGAACGAGGUUGCUCAUGGCACGCACGAGCUGGGGAGGCUGCAGUUUUGCGGCGCGUACACACAGUUCGUCGUUGGCCUGUGGCAUCAUCCUGCUGGUCAGCGACCAACGGAGCUGGCCUGAGGCGUGGUCUUGCUCGCCGGCGCUAGGCGCAGCUCGGCUGGAAGGAAGAAGGAGCCUGUGAAGUUCGGCCGGUGAGCCUAUGCAGUCCGACGACGCAUUUGUGCUUGUGUCCUGUUCACGGGCAUAGCGUGUGUGAUGGUUGUGUGCACACGACAGCCACAAGGUGUUAAGAGAAACCAAGCUAGAAGCAUAAGGCAAUACCUUCAUACGCGUGUGCACGCAAGAAAGACACAGAGAAGUUCAGGCAAUAUGAUGAUGCAGGAGCGGCAGCAUCAAUGGCAACUCGAGUAAAUUUCUCAUGGUCAUUCGAAUAAAAAAUGGCAGCGACUUCGCGGUGGCCGGCAUCUAGAAUGCUUGGUCAAAACUAAAGUCUGAGUGUUGCUAGGUACAUUCGGAUUAAUACAUUUACACUUUUCUUCAGGAAGAUAUUUGUAAGUCUGAACAUGGUGUUCCUUUCUCUUCAGGAAGGUAUUUGCUUUAAAAAGAAUACAUUACGUCAGUCCAA